AGCACUAUAUUUAAACUGUGGACGGGAACCCUCCCUGUUCUUGGUUACGCUGUAGUGCGAAAGGAUUCCUUGGCCUGCUGUGCUGCACACGGAUUGUCUGUCAGUCUGCUGUCCUGCCUGGUGCCAAGAAACAUGU
rnacentral:snoRNA from 1 species